rfam:Trichoderma virens Gv29-8 TRIVIscaffold_2, whole genome shotgun sequence.
GGCACUUUGGCCGAGUGGUCUAAGGCGCCGUGUUCAGGAGCAAUCCAGAAUUCGCGGUCUAGUAAUAGGCGAGGGUUCGAAUCCCUCAGGUGUCA